rnacentral:rRNA from 1 species
CUACGGGUCGCACCAGUGGGGAAUCUUGGACAAUGGGCGCAAGCCUGAUCCAGCCAUGCCGCGUGAGUGAAGAAGGCCUUAGGGUCGUAAAGCUCUUUCGCCAGAGAUGAUAAUGACAGUAUCUGGUAAAGAAACCCCGGCUAACUCCGUGCCAGCAGCCGCGGUAAUACGGAGGGGGUUAGCGUUGUUCGGAAUUACUGGGCGUAAAGCGCGCGUAGGCGGAUUAGUCAGUCAGAGGUGAAAUCCCAGGGCUCAACCCUGGAACUGCCUUUGAUACUGCUAGUCUUGAGUUCGAGAGAGGUGAGUGGAAUUCCGAGUGUAGAGGUGAAAUUCGUAGAUAUUCGGAGGAACACCAGUGGCGAAGGCGGCUCACUGGCUCGAUACUGACGCUGAGGUGCGAAAGCGUGGGGAGCAAACAGGAUUAGAUACCCCCGUAGUC